GUUCUAUUACCUCCGUCCCAAAUUACCUGUCUUUGAUUUGUCUAGAUACGGAUGUAUCUAACACUGAAACGUGUCUGGAUACAUCCUUAUCUAGAAAAAUCCAAGACAAGUAAUUCGGGACGGAGGGAGUAUUAG
rfam:Triticum aestivum genome assembly, contig: Triticum_aestivum_CS42_TGACv1_scaffold_213015_3AS